UACGGAGGGUGCAAGCGUUAUCCGGAUUCACUGGGUUUAAAGGGUGCGUAGGCGGGUUGGUAAGUCCGUGGUGAAAUCUCCGAGCUUAACUCGGAAACUGCCGUGGAUACUAUCAAUCUUGAAUAUCGUGGAGGUAAGCGGAAUAUGUCAUGUAGCGGUGAAAUGCUUAGAUAUGACAUAGAACACCAAUUGCGAAGGCAGCUCGCUAAACUCUUACUGACGCUGAGGCACGAAAGCAUGGGGAUCAAACAGG
rnacentral:rRNA from 1 species